UGGGAACUUCUAUAUCCGCAGGUGCAGCCUAAAAAGAAAAAAAAAAAAAAAAAAAAAAAAAAAAAAAAAAACANCCUUCCAUAGAUGCCAGCUGCUGAGGGCCUCAGAACCAGGCUUUCAGAGAAUAGGACAGGAGAGAGGCCUGGGGACAGAGGGGGACUCAGGGAGGUGGGUUAAGGCACUGGGAAGGGGAUUGGGCUUUUUAGUGCCAACCUGGUUCCAAGCAUGAGGACAAAAGGCUCCUGCCCCCACUCGCUGCAGUUUCACCCAUAUACCUGCUGGCAGGGGGAGUGAGACCCUGGCUGAGCUGCAGGGAAGGCAUGGGCCAGGGGAGAAGAAUCAUAGGUGUUUGCUCUGAACAUGUGCCCAGGAAGUCCACCCACCCACCUGCCUGCCCACCUGGUUACUCUUGCUUGGCUCAUUGGCUUGGAAAGCUCCACCCAGCAGGGGAGUAAAGAACAAAAGCUGCCUCCAGGAGGCCUUCGGACAGACGGGCAAACAGACCAGCCCGGGGACAGGAGAGUGGCUGCUAGACCCAGGAAAGGUCCUUCCAGGCCCUGUGGCCCCCAGGCCCCAAGCGGGUGCACACAGACCCCGAUCAUCCACGCCGGGAACCCAGGCCGCCGUCAGCAUGAACUGGGCCUUCCUGCAGGGCAUCCUGAGCGGGGUGAACAAGUACUCCACGGCGCUCGGCCGCAUCUGGCUGUCGGUGGUCUUCCUCUUCCGCGUGCUGGUGUACGUUGUGGCCGCCGAGGAGGUGUGGGAUGACGAGCAGAAGGACUUCAUCUGCAACACCAAGCAGCCCGGCUGCCCCAAUGUCUGCUACGACGAGUUCUUCCCCGUGUCCCACGUGCGCCUCUGGGCCCUGCAGCUCAUCCUGGUCACGUGCCCCUCGCUGCUCGUGGUCAUGCACGUGGCCUAUCGCCAGGAGCGGGAGCGCAAGCACCGCCUGAAGCAUGGGCCCGACGCCCGGUCCCUGUAUGACAACCCCAACAAGAAGCGAGGUGGCCUCUGGUGGACGUACUUGCUGAGUCUCAUCUUCAAGGCGGCCGUCGACGCCGGCUUCCUCUACAUCUUCCAUAGGCUCUACCGGAACUAUGACAUGCCCCGCGUGGUGUCCUGCUCCGAGGAGCCCUGCCCACACACUGUGGACUGCUACAUCUCCAGGCCCACAGAGAAGAAGGUUUUCACCUGCUUCAUGGUGGCCACGGCCGUGAUCUGCAUCCUGCUCAACCUCAGUGAGGUCACCUACCUGGUGGGCAAGAGGUGCCUGGAGAGCCUCGGCCCCAGGCACCAGC
rnacentral:lncRNA from 1 species